GACAGAGGUGCCGAGCGUUAGGCGGAAUUACUGGGCGUAAAGCGUGUGUAGGCGGUCCCGUAAGUCGGAUGUGAAAGCCCUGGGCUCAACCCAGGAAGUGCACUCGAAACUGUGGGACUAGAGUAUCGGAGAGGUUGGUGGAAGUUCUCGGUGUAGAGGUGAAAUUCGUAGAUAUCGAGAGGAACACCGGCGGCGAAAGGCGGCCAACUGGACGAAUACUGACGGCUGAGACACGAAAAGCUGGGGAGCAAA
rnacentral:rRNA from 1 species